UACGUAGGCAGCGAGCGUUGUUCGGAGUUACUGGGCGUAAAGGGUGUGUAGGCGGUUGUUUAAGUUUGGUGUGAAAUCUCCCGGCUCAACUGGGAGGGUGCGCCGAAUACUGAGCGACUAGAGUGCGGGAGAGGAAAGCGGAAUUCCUGGUGUAGCGGUGAAAUGCGUAGAUAUCAGGAGGAACACCGGUGGUGUAGACGGCUUUCUGGACCGUAACUGACGCUGAGACACGAAAGCGUGGGUAGCAAACAGG
rnacentral:rRNA from 1 species